rnacentral:rRNA from 1 species
CCUACGGGAGGCAGCAGUAGGGAAUAUUUCUCAAUGGGGGAAACCCUGAAGCAGCAACGCCGCGUGGAGGAUGAAGGUUUUCGGAUUGUUAACUCCUUUUGUUAGAGAAGAUAAUGACGGUAUCUAACGAAUAAGCACCGGCUAACUCCGUGACAGCGGCCGCGGUAAUACGGAGGGUGCAAGCGUUACUCGGAACCACUGGGCGUAAAGAGCGAGUAGGCGGGAUAGCAAGUCAGAUGUGAAAUCCUAUGGCUUAACCAUAGAAAUGCAUUUGAAACUGUUAUUCUAGAGUAUGGGAGAGGGAGGUGGAAUUCUUGGUGUAGGGGUAAAAUCCGUAGAGAUCAAGAGGAAUACUCAUUGCGAAGGCGACCUGCUAGAACAUAACUGACGCUGAGGCGCGAAAGCGUGGGGAGCGAAAAGGAUUAGAUACCCUAGUAGUC